UACUUCCUGGUGUUACGAGGCAGGGAUUUCACUUGCUUUUACCUUUUAAAAUGAAUUGGCUUUGCCCCAGAGGAAAUGGCUGCCGAGGGACGUGUUGGAGGCCAUCGUCGGCAUGGUGGUGGCCAGUCUUAAUUCUGGCUUAAUUCUGUGCGUAAGGAGGGGCAGUUGCAGUUAAGCUGCUGAGCAGCAAAUCUCUGCAAGGCACGGUUGGAGCUGUUGUCCGGACCCCAAGUGCUUUAGACCCUGAUCUGGAUGCUGCAAGGACGUAAGCUGGAGGAUUUAAACUCUCAGGAUCAAGAUUACUACACAUGCAUUGCUUCCCCAAGAAAGGUCCUCAGACCACCUUCAUGUUGAGAUGUCAGCAUGAAACUCCAGCAUUAAGGAAGAUGCCACGUAGUGAAAACCAGCUUGAGCAGAUGUGGAAAAUAGUCAAGUUCACUUGAAAAAUCAAUCCAAAACAUAACAAAAUGGUAACUGUGUAAGCACAGUGUAAAAAGGUCUUGGACAUUUAAAACAUCCUGUAUCCACUUCUGAAGUAAAUCAGUCUUGAAGCAAAGCAAUUGGCAAGACCAUGGCAAGGAAGAGGAGAUACAGGUCUCUGAAAGACUUAUGACAGUUACAAAAGACAAACAUCUUAAAGGAUGAUGUUUCACCCUCCUUCAUAACUCAUGCCAUUCACAAGAUGCAGGUUCAUGACUUAGGGUAUGCAAAUACCCCUGCAGGCUCCAGCAGUGCUCACAUUUCAUCAAAACCAAGCUGCCUACCUUUGGGCAAUCCCAAUGUGUUGUACAUGCUGCAAAAACAAGUCAUUUGUUACUUACUCUUCUGAGCUGAAUGUAAAGUCUUACUCUAGGACAGCUGACUUACCUCCAUAAAUUACCUUACUACAGAAGUAUCAUCUUCUUGAGGGAGUUAAUUAAGUGUUCCCUAGAAGGAACAGUAUUGCUGGGUUAUACUUCACAGCCUAAGAUUUGAAAAGGCAGCUGUCAAAAAGCAGAAGCUGUAGUCAAAUGAAAACAAAAGAAAAACUCAUAAAUACUAGUAAAUGAGACUUAGUAAUUGUAAAGGGAAAAGAAAAAAGAGAUUAUGUGACAAAUAGAAAAGGAAGGCUGAAAACCUCUUUCAAAUGCAUCUUGGAGAUAAGAAAGCUGCCAAAAAGCUGUAAGAUGGUGUGGGAGUGAUUAGGGAAGCUUAAGUCCAUGAAUGAAAAGUCAAGUUGAUGUUUUGCCAUCAGAGGAGCUUUGGGGUGUUGCCAGACAAGAGAUUUUCCUCAGCAGCAAUGAGAUGGAGCCUCCACUGAAAAGUGAAGCAUUAGGACUUAAAAACAAGUCUGUGACAUGGAGGGCAGCAAACCACAUGCGAGACUCGGUGGUCUCCAGCAUGAAAUGGAUGAACAGGUAACUCUGCUGCAAGUAAUUCACCACUCACCUCAAAUCCUCCCCAUGAUGAAAAGCAAUGGCAUUUAGGAAAAAACAGGCUGGCAGAACCUUUCAAAGAACUGCCUGAGGACAGGGAAGACCAGCCUCUCCAGGCUGAAAACUUGUGGCAAGGCUGGUGGCAACCCAGAGAUGUGAGUGGCCAGUAUCUGAGGCCAUCUGCCCCACCAGUCAACACUUUCAGAACAAUUUGGAGCACGGGGUGCCAAGGUGUGUUGAUUAUGCAAAAUGACCAAAAACAUUCAGCCCUGAAUGAGCCUGUGGAAAGAUGCAGAAGGAUCUUGUGACUGAGUGACUGGGUUAUUAAAAUGCUGGAUGAAAUUCAAGGUUGCUAAGUGAGGAAUACUACAUGCAGGACUCAAAGCCCUCUUUUGACAUUGCCCAAACCUCCAACAAACAAGUGAGCAACUUUUGUUGACCUUGGUCUGAGUCCUGCAACAGAAGGGGAAAAUUUUUUAAAAAAAGGUGGUUUGUAAUCUCUGCAAUCUCCAGUUUUUUAGCUGCCAAGUUGGAUACUGGUUUAGGUGCUGGACACCAAGUACCAAAUUUCACAUGGCCUCCAGCUUCCCCAUCUCCUCAGAAUCCUUGUACACCUUUAUCAGCCUGACUAAACUGCCAUCUAGACAACAGCAUGAAGUGACUUUAGGCACUGUACAAAAAUGCUUACUUGUCUUUUUUUUUUAGGAGCAAAGUAACUAAACUUUUCACUUUCAAAGCAUUUUUUUCCAUGGUUGGAAGUCUUUGGUCCAUCUAUUCCAACUUCUGAUGCAAAGCAGGACAAAGGACACCAAUGUAACGUGUGGAUAAAAGAUGUUUAAAGACAUCUUCAGUGUCUGGCUGAGAACUUGCAUAUAUGACUGCACAUGAGCCCUGCUCCCUAGGAGCAGGGAAAGGUCAUUCCAACCCUUCUGUUCUCCCAGGCAAGGUCAGUCACUAUUUCUUGCUCUUGGAUGUAUCUGUGCAUGGCUAUAUAUGUCUGGCAACAGAACUUCUCUUUUGACCCUAUUCAGAAAUACUCUGUGAUGCUUCUUAGCACUUUUGACGAAGAUAUUUAGCCCUUUUGAGAGUUUGUAUCAUUUCUAGGUAUCAAAAAUGGUAUCAGUUUUGUCUGUCAAUUCCUUGUCCUUCUAUAAAUAUUAUUCCAACUGUAGUUUUUUUCCAUUCCUUCAUGAUUUCUUGCCUCCUCCCCCCUCCACUGGUUUCUCAUUGGCUUUUGUCCAUGCCCUGUCAGACUAAGCACUGACGUCAUUUGCUUGCCCAUCCACCCAGGCUUUUCUUUAAAUGUCUUCCCCCAUGCUUUUAAAAACUGACCUCAGCAAACCAUGGAUUUCAGCAGCCAGUGCUUUUUUCUCAGUGUAGAGGUUAGUGCGCUGUGCAAAGCGGCGUUUGCAGGAAGGCAGCGACGGUGCUUCACUUUCAGCAUUGCUCACUGCAACUCCCCAGGCAGCCUCGGGCUUUGUGGGGGGGCUUGCUCAUCCCUACAGCACCCCAUGCACCCCACAGGAUACUGUGCUCCAGGUCGUCUGUGCCUGGAACUGCAGCAGUGCUCAGCUGGAGAUCCUGUCAAGGAUGCUCCUUAUUGCUAACUGCCUGGAAAGUGCUUCAUCAUUCCCUUCUGAGCACAUUCUGCAUUUUUCCUAUACAGAGCAGACUCAUCUGGUGAGUGCUUUUCUUUUUUUGCCUUGUUUUGAUUAUUUUCCCGAUUUCAGCCAAUAAAAAGAAAAUAUUUCUGUUAGGAUUGUUUUUCUUUAAAUGUAACUAGAACAGCAUUUUAGUUCCUUAAGCACUCAAGUAUUGUUAUUUUUCUCUGAGGUGAUAUGAGCAGCUGAAGACCUUUUUACAGACAGCUAAAUUAUUUUGCUCUCCCUCUAUUCCUUUUCUCCUGACCAUAGUUGCUGUAGUUGUUACAAGGAUUAUUUUUUGUUAACGUAGGUCAAGCUUUAUUAUUAUUUCUAUUAGUUAUUCCUAUUUCCAAGUACUUUUGUCACAUGGCCACUUACUCAAGGAAGUUCACUCACUGAAAGUUAUCUUUAUCUUGCUAAAUCACAGCCUUUUGAAAAACUGGGAAAAUACUGCUCUUUCCACAAUCUGCAAGUUCACUUAUUUCACUCUAAGGAAAAGUUACAGGGCAACACACAGCUCUCACAACAAAAUGUGUGACAUUUUGUUCUGGCUGAUGUCUCAGUUUGUUUCUCGGUUGAUCCCUUGUCCUUAGGCAACCAUCAAUCUUUACCCAAUUUUCAUCUGUCAUAAGGACAUCUAAAAUCAUUGCCUUACUUGGGCAUUCCAUCACUUGUAAAUUGAUGAGAAAUUCCCCCUGGCACAGCAUAUUCUUUGGUAUCCCAAGUCAAAGUUUCCUAUUGACAACACAAUUUUUCUUGUCAAGCAAAGCAGGGAGGUACUUACAAAAUAAAUCAACAUGUUUUUUGGGGGUGUUCAGCAGUAUUUAUAGAAGACCCUUCACUGCCUUGAUGAAAUUGUGCAUCAGAGCAUGUUUGGCUAUCAGCUGUAGAGUGAAUAUCACUUUUAACAUCGCUUGUAAACCAAAUUCACAAUGGCUCUUGCCUAUUCCUUUAUCCAACAGGUUAGACUGAUCUAGCAGUUCUACCAUAUGGCUGUGACCCUGAAAAAUAUCAGUUAACCACAUUUCUUCCUACCCUGAUGAUUUCUAUUUCCUCUUGCACUUUGCCCAGUUGCAGUCUGCUCUCAAAGCUGGAAAUGCUGCCUCUUCCCAUCUGUUGUGACAUUUGUCCAGCUUGAUCAUGAUGGCUUUACCAUCACUCCUAACAUAAAUCACCAUGUGCAGCAGCUUGCCAGUUGUUUUCAGGAGCCUGUCCCUGCAUCAUCCAGCUGUAUUUCCAAUGAGACAGUACCUCCACCGUGUUCUGCAUUAAUUCUCGUGUUCUCUCCUCUUGAAAGGAGGUUUCUUCCCUGUAGCCAGAGUACUUGACCUACUUGGUCAUCACCUAUGAGUUCUGGAACACCCUGUGUCACAGGUACCUGAGACACAGCAACCAUAAAUGUAUGAAGAGUAUGGCCAGAGGUAAAAGGCUUAGGAAAGUCAAGCUUCCAGAUCAAACUGAGAAACAAAACCACCUUUCUAUGCAGCUUUGUCCUCUCCUAACUCUUGACUAAGAAACGUGAUAAAAUAAUACAACAGGUUAGCUGGAAUCCAAAGGCAUUCUGGUGAAGGCUGUCAGCAUUGCAUUUAGGUCCUUCCAAGGAAUCCUGAUAUGGGGAAAGCCAACUCACACCACCAUGGGUCAUGUGGGAUGAGUGACAAAUGCCUCCAGCAGAAGGGUGCUGGGUGGAAAAUACAGGGCCUUGACUGACUGGACAGACAAGUCAGACUCUCUCAGUGAUAUGAUCUAAAAGAGAUGGGAUCCAGGAAUCAGCGAAGGGAGGGUGCAGGUUCACUUAACACAAGGAAGAAGAUGUGGGCUGCUUAGUGGUUAGGUUUCCUGAACCCUCUGAAGCAAGUAAAGCACCAUCCCACCCUCGUGUGGUCAGGUGCAAGGAAAGUGAUGCUCCCCACCCUCCUCUCUGUGGGAAUAUCUGCUAGUUUCCUUCAAGAAAUUCAGUGGGCCUGGUCAGAAUCCCAGAAUGGUUGGAAGGGACUUCCACUGGAGUAAUCGGGUCUCAACCCCUGUCCUCAAGCAGGGCUGUCCCAGACCACAUGGGACAGGAUUGCCCCCCGACAGUUCUGGAAUAUCUGCAGUGAGGGAGACUCCACAACCUCUCUGGGCAAUCAGCUCCAGUGCCCAGACACCUGCCCAGUAAAGUUCUUCCUUUGUUCACGUGGAACUUCCUGUGUUCCACCUUCUGCCUGUUGUCUCAUGUCUUCUUGGCACCACCAAGAACAGGAGCCUGGCUCCUUCCUCUGACACCCAGCCUGCAGACACUUACAGACACUGAUGAGGUCCCCUCUCAGACACUCUUACCAAGCCUGAACAGGCCCAGCUCCCUCAGCCUUUCCUCAUGAGGCACUUCCUCACCUAAUGAUCUCCAUUCCCCUUUGCUAGACCUGCUCCAGGAGCUCCAUGUCUCUCUUGGAUGGAGGAGCCCAGAAUGGGACACAGCACUGCAGAUUCCCCUCAGCAAGGCUGAGAGGAGCCUCACCUCCCUCGCCCUGUGGGCAAUGCUCUUCCUAAUACAUCCCAGGACACCACUGGCUUUGUGGCUACCAGGACACACUGCUGGCUCAUGGAGAGUUUCUUGUCCACCAGGACCCCCAGGUCCUUCUCUGAAGAGCUUCUUCUCAGCUGGUCUGCCCCCAUCCCGUGCUGCUGCAUGGGGCAAUUCCUCCCCAGGUGCAGAACCCUGCAAUUGCCUUUGCUGAAUUUCACAAGGCUCCUCUCUGCUCAUCUCUCCAACCUGUCCCUCUGAAGGAGUGCACAACACUCUGGGGUAUUGGGCACUCCCCCCAGCUUGGUGUCAUCAAUGAACAUGAUGAGAUAGCAUCACCCUUCAUCCAAAUAAUUGAUGAGUAAGCUAAACAAGGAUGGGCCUGGUACUGAACCUUGUGGGACACCAUUAGUGACAGGCCAUCAGCUAGACCCUGUGCCACUGACUAUGACCCUCUGGGAUCUGCUGUUCAGCCAGCUCCCACUCCACCUCACUGUCCACUCAUCCAGUCCACACUUCCUAAGUUUGUCUAUGAGGAUCUUGUGAGAAACAGUGUUGAAAGCCUUGCUCAAGUCGAGGCAGACAAUAUCCCCUGCUCUGUCCUCAUCCAUCCAGGCAACUGUCUCGUGGUAGAAGGCAAUCACGUUGGUCAAGCAUAAUUUGCCUUUAGUGAAGUCAAGCCGACUCUCCUGCUCACCUUCUUGUAUCCCACAUGCUUAUAGAAAACUUCCAGAAUGAGGUGCUCCAUCGCCUUGCUGGGAUUGAGGUGAGGCUGACUGGCUGACUGGUGUCCUGGGUCCUGCUUCUUGGCCUCUUUGAAGAGUGGGGUGACAUUUGCUUUCUUCCAGGCCUCAGGCCCCUCUCCUGAUGUCAGACCCUUCAAAGAUGACUGCUACGGUGUUCAGCAACUCCUCAGCACUGUGGAUGCGUCCUUACAAGAGCCAUGGAUUUGUGGCUAUCUCAUUCCCCUAGGUGAUCUCUAACCCAAUUCUCCCUGCCCAAGGGAGAAUCUUCCUUCCAACAUUCCUGAGGGGUAAUAAGCUGAUGAACCAGUCUGCCUACAUAUUCAGUGGGAAGACCUUAUUGCCCAGUCCAGAGCUAUGACCCUAAAAGGACGGUCUUGGACAAAGGUUCGAGAGGUGAGCACUCAGCAGCCACAGUCCUGAGCUGACUGCUGGCAGAGGGACUGCCCAGAUGCAUCCUGCCAUGGAACCCCAUUCAGUCUGUGCUCAGACUGUUCUUGGGAAUUAAACAGUCACAUUAAUGCACAGACACUGAGCCAGACAGGACUUGAUACUGCUUCCUGAGCAGGCACUGCCGAGAGGUGUCCUGGAAAAGAGGUGACUUUAGGGACUCAAGAAGCAACACACCACUCCGUAGUUCCUGGACAUCACAGUUUCCAGCAGAGAGCGUGGUGGAGAAAAGCAGGCUUGAUACUCCUCAAAGAAGGAAAAGGAGCCCACAGAGAAAAACUCAGUAGAUGGAGGGACCACAUCUCAUUUCAGCAUCAAAGAUGUGGGCUCACCACAGCUAGACAGGUAGGUGGCCCAGCUAACACCAGGGGCCUUGGGCUGUGCUUCCCACACUGAGGAAUUGCUGAGGCAAAGGAUCCAUGCUGCUAUCCUGCUGGAGAGAUCUGGGAGGCUGUCAGACUGGUGGGGGAACAGAGCCUCUUGCUGGUGAUACAAUUCACCUGGGAACAGCAUUUUGCACAAGUGGGUGGCAGGGAUUUUGGUUUCACUGCAAAUGGAGUCCUGGCAGGCAGUGUGGGACCAGGGCCACCACGUGUCCUGGGACAUGGGUGUCUAGCACCUGCUGCUCCUCUGGGCAAUGACUGCUCGAGGCAGAGAUGUCAGUCCUUCUGUGCUUCAUUCCUGAAAUCUCUCAGGGUACGCAUCUGCAGUUUUGUGGGCUCCUUAAGCAGUACCAAGGCAAAGGCAUGCAUUAUGUCCUGGAUUAUGCACGGGGAAAGCCAGGAGUUGUCAGCCACUCACAGAACUCUCCACGGGAGAGAAAGAGCAGAAAACACUGCAAAGAUGCCCACAGGAACGGGGAUUUGCAUGAAUCUGAAGAGCCUCCAGACAGGAUAGGAAGUCAUCCCUGAUCUACUGUGUGUGUGAGGCAUCAUCACCUGAACGUAGAAAACUGAAAGAGUAAAAUAUUUCCUCUGGCUUUAGCUCUUUUAGGUAAAAAAAUAAAGAGGGAAGAGGGAAAGAAAUGGGAACAGUUGAACAAGGUGGCAUAGAGGUGAGGGCCAUGGCAGGCACUGAGGCACACACCUCCCAUCUAUCCACACACCCACAGGCAGCCAGGGCUUCUGCUGCUUCCCAGCACCCUGCUGCUCCUGUGAAACACUUUCCAAGCUUCCUGCAAGAAGUGAAGAUGCCAGUCAGGAGCCACAGCAGACCCCAGGCUGAGGAACUGCCUUUGGCCAGCACCUGCACCCUGAUUUCCUGUUUCCUGCUCAAUUCUUCUGCCAUUUGCAGGGACUUGCCUCCCUGCCCGCUCUAACCAGCUCAUCUCCUGCUGAAAUGCCAACACGUGCCUUAACACAUGGGGCAGGCACGGGCAGAGCACCUCACCCUGCCCAAACACAGACACUGUGCUGCGCGGUGCGUGGAUGCCACAGAGCUCCCAGCUCAAGCACCCAGCAGCAUCUCUUGCAUCCCUCAGCCCCCAUUUUAUCUUCCACACCUAAUCCUAGAGAUGAUCCAAAAACUCUACUCCAUGUACUUUCUCUUCCCUUCAGUUCCUUUAGUGGGAAGCAUUUUUUCUCUAGAGCUUCACCCGCCCUGGCUGUGCAGGCUGUGUCCACUUCUCAGGGAUCACACUGCCUCUCGGGAUCACUCUUCCUCUCUGGAGGCUGCUCACUCCCUCCUGACACCCUGCCAGGCCCCAGCCUCCCAUCACCAUCACUGGAGGAGCCAGCCAGGAAAAUGCCACAGGAGAUGGUGGGACAGGGGAUCCCCCCUGCAGUUACACUGAGGAUGGAUAUGGGACUGAGGGCAGGAAGGAAGGUGCUCUGGGAUGCCCUGGUGUGGCAGAAGAGGCCAGGAAACAUGAAGAGGCUCACAAGACAGGUUCAGUUCCAUUUUCAGUCCUUCAGCUCUGCAUUGAUGAUGCUCCAGGCUAAAAACAAGGCAGCCCAUGCAGCACCAGAGCCUGUUGAGGGCCAAUGGCUCUCAGAACAGG